CACAGGGAGAGGGAAGCCACUUGCCUUCCUUCAGGGAGUAAGAGCUGCUAGGGCAGGAGGGAGCCCGGGAGCUGUGACCUCAGCCCUAAGGAGCGAUGUGACCACAGAAACAGAAAAGAAUGAAUAACUGAGAACCUGGAGGGCUGUGCUGGCCCCAGAAAGGCGCUUCUGGCAUGGGACUGAAUAGGCAGGACCUCACACUUUACUCCAGGACACCAUCCUGGGGUGGGCCAGUACACAGGUCCUGACCAGCAGCAAAUGGACAACAGCAUCAAGCAGAACGCGGCUGAGAGCAGAGCCCUGUGGUUCGCUACCAGAGACCCAACACCAGUCAUUAGGGAUCAGCUGUUUUCCCGAACGUCUGCAAGAGCUGCCCGGCUCCCCUCCCUGGCUGCCUACCUUUCGGCCUGCCUCGUUAUUGUCUCCCACCACAAGAUGUGAGGGAUGAAUGAAUGGGCAGGCCUGCAUUCCAGCUGUAACCCUGCCAGAAGCUGGAUGACCUUGGAUUCCAGAGCCCAUUUCCAGCCCUGGCCUCGCUGUCUGUCCCCACCAAACAAUGAGCACCCUGAGGGAGGAGCCUGUGGCCGAUUCAUCAGUCUACCAUGCAGAAGAUUCUAGAGAAUAUCUGCGGGACGGGUCACAGCCAGCCCUGGGCAAAGUGCCUCACACUUUCCAUCCUGGGACUCAGCUACAGGAAGUUGUUCUGGAAUUGGAAUUUCUUAAAGCGAGGAUCUGUGUACCCAGAGUGCAGGAGAAGAGGUGACCCCCACUCCUCUCCAAGCACAUUACUGACUGGUCCCUACCCUAUUUCCCUCAAUCCUGCCUUACACUGGCCCUCUUCCUGCCUCCUGCCCUUUGUCCUUACUUGUUGCCUUCCCUGGAAUCUCUCUCUUCCCACUGAGCUUCACAGGCUUGGCUUCAAGGGAUACCUUCUUUGACCACCCCAGCUACAGGAAUCUGCCUCACCCUCUCACCCCUCAUAACUUGGCAUCACAGUCUCUGUUUUGUUUAUGUCAU